AUUGAACGCUGGCGGCAUGCCUUACACAUGCAAGUCGAACGGCAGCAUGAUCUAGCUUGCUAGAUUGAUGGCGAGUGGCGAACGGGUGAGUAAUACAUCGGAACGUGCCCUGUAGUGGGGGAUAACUAGUCGAAAGAUUAGCUAAUACCGCAUACGACCUGAGGGUGAAAGUGGGGGACCGCAAGGCCUCAUGCUAUAGGAGCGGCCGAUGUCUGAUUAGCUAGUUGGUGAGGUAAAGGCGCACCAAGGCGACGAUCAGUAGCUGGUCUGAGAGGACGAUCAGCCACACUGGGACUGAGAAACGGCCCAGACUCCUACGGGAGGGCGCAGUGGGGAAUUUUGGACAAAGGGCGAAAGCCUGAUCCAGCAAUGCCGCGUGUGUGAAGAAGGCCUUCGGGUUGUAAAGCACUUUUGUCCGGAAAGAAAUGGCUCUGGUUAAUACCUGGGGUGGAUGACGGUACCGGAAGAAUAAGGACCGGCUAACUACGUG
rnacentral:rRNA from 1 species